rnacentral:rRNA from 1 species
AUAGAGCUCUGGCGGCAAGCCUAACACAUGCAAGUCGAACGAGCGACGGAAGGGCGAGUAAUGUAUGGGGACUGCCCGCUAGAGGGGGAUAACUCCUGGAAACGGUAGCUAAUCCCGCAUACGAUCGGAUAACCCAUAUGGGAUUAGCUAGUAGGUGAGGUAAUGGCUCAGCUAGGCGACGAUCCCUAGCUGGUCGGUGCGGAUGAUCAGCCAAACUGGGACUGAGACACGGCCCAGACUCCUACGGAGGCAGCAGUGGGGAAUAUUGCACAAUGGGCGCAAGCCUGAUGCAGCCAUUCCGCGUGUAUGAAGAAGGCCCUAGGGUUGUAAAGUACUUUCAGUCGGGAGGCGUUACCGACAGAAGAAGCACCGGCUAACUCCGUGCCAGCAGCCGCGGUAAUAC